CUGUCCAGUAGGGACAGGAAAAAAGGAAAAUAAAAGUCUCACAGCAGUGCUUAAGCAGUUCCUCAGGUAGAAAACCUGAGGAACUAAGUGAUUCCUUCUGUGGACAACUGAUACAACAAGAGGACAGGGCUCACCUCAAGUAAGCAAAAAUUUGACAGAACUGAACAGGCCUCCAAGGGUUUUUCCCCUAGCAUUGCCCCUUCUCAAGACAUUGUAGGAUUAAAUAGAGAUUGUUUGAUGGUGCUCUGCCAAGGGAGCAAAGUGGGACCUGCAGUCUUUCAGCUGCCUUGCUGGCAAGUUUCUUCCUCUGGAUAACUAACUUAUAACAAGGAUCAAGGUCCUCUGAUCUGGUUAAACUUCAGAUGGCAAGGCUAUAAAUAAAACCUGAAGCCUGUAACCCAGUGUGGUCAUUGCAGCCAUGAGCCAGGCUCUCCUGCCUCUAAAUAAACAGCUGUCAAGGGUCUAUUUUUCAGGUUAUAUGAUCAGCUGGCUAUGAAAUUAGAUCUAACUAGAUAAAGACCCACCAAGAUUACUCUGCUUCUGAUGAUAUGAAGUCUUGUCACCUUGUACCUGUGCGGACUAGGACCACUGAGUGUCACCAUAGCUCUGUGGCUUGCGCUGCGAGAUGCCGUUUCUCCAGACAAAAAAAUUCCUUUUCUAAAAUGAGUUGGAAC